CCUACGGGAGGCAGCAGUAAGGAAUAUUGGACAAUGGGCGCAAGCCUGAUCCAGCCAUGCCGCGUGAAGGAUUAAGGUCCUCUGGAUUGUAAACUUCUUUUAUAGGGGACGAAAAAAGGGCAUUCUUGCUCACUUGACGGUACCCUAUGAAUAAGCACCGGCUAACUCCGUGCCAGCAGCCGCGGUAAUACGGAGGGUGCAAGCGUUAUCCGGAUUCACUGGGUUUAAAGGGUGCGUAGGCGGGCAGUUAAGUCAGUGGUGAAAUCUCCGAGCUCAACUCGGAAACUGCCAUUGAUACUAUCUGUCUUGAAUAUUGUGGAGGUAAGCGGAAUAUGUCAUGUAGCGGUGAAAUGCUUAGAUAUGACAUAGAACACCUAUUGCGAAGGCAGCUUACUACGCAUAUAUUGACGCUGAGGCACGAAAGCGUGGGGAUCAAACAGGAUUAGAUACCCUGGUAGUCCACGCCCUAAACGAUGGAUACUCGACAUACGCGAUACACUGUGUGUGUCUGAGCGAAAGCAUUAAGUAUCCCACCUGGGAAGUACGUCCGCAGGAUGAAACUUAAAGGAAUUAGACGG
rnacentral:rRNA from 1 species